rnacentral:misc_RNA from 1 species
UCCCUCUAUCUACGUGUCUGAGCCUCAUCACAUUCUAACCACACAGGGCUCCUGCGCCGGCACGCACUGCCACGAUCACCGCCUCUGCCGCCCACCUACCCACCGCCUCUCCUCCGUACCGGCCUUCCCGUGUUUGCCUUGAAGACUCACCGGCUCGUUCACCGCCGUCGAUAGCCGCACCGCAACACGAAACAGUGCACUGCUGUCCGACGGCUCCACACCCGUCUCUCUUUUCCGGAUUCCUCCCCUCCUCGUCAUUCUCCCGUGGAAGGCCCCGCAUGCCGUGGGCGACCACCCUCGAUCCCAAGGCCCCGCCGCCGCCGACGCUGUGCGUCACCGUUAGCAGCACGACCGAUGUGCUCAUCAUCGCCGACAUGCAGGUAGACUUCUUGGCACCUGGCGGCUCUCUCCACGUAAAGGGAGGUGAAGCGCUGCUGGAUGGUAUCAACGCCGUGUCUUCCCAGUUGCCGUUCCGCUACCAAGUCGCCACGCAGGACUGGCAUCCGGAGAAUCAUUGUUCCUUCGUCACCCAUGGCGGGCCGUGGCCACCGCACUGUGUGCAGGGCUCGGCGGGAGCGCAGCUGCACGCAGGGCUCCACACGCAGCGCAUCAACGCGGUUAUACGUAAAGGUGUCACGCAGCAAGCGGACAGCUACUCCGCCUUCGUGGAGGACAACGGGGUGUCGACGGGUCUGGCCGGGCUGCUGCACUCCAUCGGCGCGCGCCGCGUCUUUGUGUGCGGGGUGGCCUACGAUUUCUGCGUCUUCUUCACCGCAAUGGACGCGCGAAAAAACGGCUUCAGCGUAGUGCUGCUGGAGGACUUGACGGCCGCCGUGGACGACGCGGCGUGGUCGGCACGAACAGCAGAGCUGAAGGACGCCGGUGUCGUGCUGCUGAAGAGUUCUGCACUCGUGGCGGAAGGCACACAGACGUAAGUGGGCGCAAGGGCGAGAAGGAGUCAGUUGGAGCGAGCAAGAGACGACGCGGCAACGAAGCGCCGGUGCGCGCGGUGUGUGCACAGUGAGGUGGUGCUGCUGUGCCGCCGCCGCCGCCGCUGCGCUUACAGACGAAGUCUGUAUAGGCAGACGAAGCGAUGCCGUUCAUCUGGGUGGCCACCGCCAUCACCGCCACCCGCUCUUCUCCUGGGGCAACCCUUUACGCUCCCUUUUCUGUCACGUUUGCCCAUCGAAGCGUUGUUGAUACCCCUUCCGUUGGCACGCGCACAGGCAUGACGACGGCGACGGCGGCGGACAAUGCAGACCUUAACUGCCUUCUAGUUCUACUUAAGCCUCGUGUCACAUCUAUACGCACGUGCACGCGCAUGCGCACGCACAGGCGUGCAUGCACGCAGCCGAGGUUCUCCUUUCCGCCUUCUUAUUCCGUCACGAAACCCUUUUUUGUACGCGCAGCAACGUCAAGGGCAACGUGGGCGCGCUAAGAACGAAACUUUUUUCGAAAACCGGAAGAAGUGAUCGCAUCACUUGAGAACGAGAUUGUCUGCCACGUGGGUCGAUGCGCUCUGCACGCACGCACACGCACAGCCUCCGCGCAUUUCGGUCGCACUCUCUCACCCCCCCCCGACACACACACCACCACUACCACCCUCCUCCUUCGCCUGUCUCGCUGGAAUCGUGGGGACGAAAGGCGGAGAGACCAUGAGAAAACGCGUGUGUCCGUGUGCCUGCGUGUGUGUGUGUGUGUGUGUGACGGAAAGCCUGGCGGACGUUCUUGCCUCUUGCUGAUCGACGGCACAUUGGAGGUAGGUAUGCACGCACGGAAGCGGCAGAGAGGGGCAGCCACGAACAGCAACAUGCCCUUCGUGAGCCACUCCAUGCGGCAUGCGUCGCGCCCUUCCACCAGCGUCGCCACCGCCACCGCCACCGCGACCUUCCUCUUCUCUCUCUUUUCUGCCGCUGUGAUGAUGCUCACCUGUCCUCCGCCGUCUCUCCCACACCACCACCGCCUCAACACCUCUCUCGUCCUCCUCCCCACUCCCCUCAAAAAAACAAAAAAAAAACAACGACGACCACCUUCGAUGCGCCUCCGUACACUAUAUCGCGGCCCUCCCUCCAUCAUGCGCACAG